CAGCAGCCACGGGAACACGUAGGGUGCAAGCGUUAAUCGGAAUUACUGGGCGUAAAGCGUGCGCAGGCGGUUUGUUAAGACAGAUGUGAAAUCCCCGGGCUCAACCCGGGAACUGCAUUUGUGACUGGCAAGCUAGAGUCUGGCAGAGGGGGGUGGAAUUCCGCGUGUAGCAGUGAAAUGCGUAGAUAUGCGGAGGAACACCGAUGGCGAAGGCAGCCCCCUGGGCCAACACUGACGCUCAUGCACGAAAGCGUGGGGAGCAAACAGGAUUAGAUACCCCAGUAGUCCCUGUCUCUUAUAC
rnacentral:rRNA from 1 species